AGUGUCGGAGUGUGAGAUUACGCGUGUCUCUUUUCGUGCCGUUCUCGUCGCUUUCUCACUGAAAAGGCGUGCUAGUGCAUUUACGGAUUAUAACUGCGACGACAGAUGCCUUCAGUCUUCUGCCAGGUAUGUCCAUGAGCUCCGUACCAGGUGUUAGUACGUCCCCUUGUAUUAUGUAAGUAUUUGAUUUUGAUUAAACGCUUUUGUGGGUGUGAUUAUAGGUUAAGAGGUUAAUUGGCAACACGUUCGUACUUUCCUGAUGAUGUGCAGAGUGCGAAUUCAUGGAAAAAAUAAUAGUGUGUUGAUUGAAUUUUGUUUUUGAUGUUUGAGGCGAUGAUGAUAAUGGUGAUGAUGGUGAUGGUGAUGAUGACGGUGUGUGUGUAUGUGUGUGUGUGUGUGUGUGUGUGUGUGUGUGUGUGUGUGUGUGUGUGUGUGUGUGUGUGUGUGUGUGUGUGUGUGUGUCAUGCAUUUGCGUUUUAUAGAAUUUUUUACAGAGCGGGGAUUUGGUAAAACUACAAGAAAGAAUAUAUAUGAAAAAGAAAAUCGACAGCUAAUUUUCACUCUUUUAAUUACUGUAUGUAAACGUUAUUAAAAUUGUCAUAUACGCAAUGCUAAUGAGACAAUUAGGUGCACGCCUUAAUGUAUAAUGUAAAUUCUAAACACUCGAUUACGCCAGAGUGUUAAUCAAACCGAUAAAGGAAGAAGAUGAUAUUUAAGGAAUAUGGAAAUGUGAAGGGGAAGCGAAAUGAAAAGGGGCGAUUUUUAAAGAAGAAU